CCAUCUCUAUCUCUCACUCGCUCUUUCCCGUCCGGUGAAGAGAAACGUCGGAGAAAGAAUUAGGGUUUAAGCCUCCCGCUUUUAUAUCUCGUCUUUUUUUUUCAAUAGGUCGUCUGCGUUUGCGUUUUGGUUAAUUUUUUUUUUAUUUUUGAGCAACGUGAAUACUUUCGCUACAAAGAGCUAGUAAGCCCAUUGUUGCCGAAAACUAAAAAAAGCUAAUAAGCCCAUUAACAGUAAAAUGGCCCACGAAAAAAGGGAAGCAUCAUAAGUUCAAAAUCGUCCAUCUAAAAAUUUGUGGAAUUUCUUAGGACCCAAUUUCUUACUGUAAUUGUUCUUUUACUGAAAAUUUGCUUGCAGUAAGAUUAUCUAGCAUAAGAAGAAAGAAUAGGUUAACGGGAUUGCGAAUCACAACACAUUUAAGAGGAUGAGAAUCAAGAUUUACUAAGGAUACAAUUUCCAUUUUUUAAGACAAGAUCAUUCUGUUAAGUGUGAUUAUCUUUGAUUGAUUGAUUGGAGAUUUGAUAUCUCAUGAAAUCCUCUACUCAAUUAAUGGGAUGAAACAACAAAAAGGCAAGAAAUAAGGAAUCAUUCAAUACAUAAUAUUUCAUCCAUCCCAUAUAUAUACCCACACAAGUCAAAUCAAACAACAUAAUAAACAUCAAAUCGUACUCUCUCAGUUUUAUAACAGUAGAAUAAAAAAAAACUGUGACAGAAAUGGCUCAAACUUUGCGUAGUGCAAUGGUUGUGAUGAUGAUUUUUGUAACAAUCGAGUGUGGUAAUGGAAUGGAUACUAAAGACCACCGUGUGUGUUUCAAAAACUGCCUAGAAAAGUGCCGUAUAGAUGAUUACACAUGUCAGUUGAAGUGUGAAAUAGAGUGCCAUUUAACACCACCGGCUCUUCUAAGUGAAAAAAAAGAAGAUCAGCGUGUGUGUUUCAAAAACUGCCUAGAGAAGUGCCGCAUAGAUGAUUACACAUGUCAGUUAAAGUGUGAAAUAGAGUGUCAUUUAACACCACCGGCUCUCCCGGCUCUUUUAGGUGAAAAAAAAGAAGACCAUCGUGUGUGUUUCAAAAACUGUCUAGAGAAGUGCCGCAUAGAUGAUUACACAUGUCAAUUGAAGUGUGAAAUAGAGUGCCAUUUAACACCACCGUCUUUUCCAUUGGAUGAAGCAGUAAUGGCGCCAGAACAAGGUAAAAGCGAUACGUGCUACAGAGAUUGUAGCAACAAAUGGGGCCUUGACUCAGCUCGUAUGGAACGUUGUUUGAAUACUUGCCCCACGCCUGCUACUCUCUUUUAGUUCCCACGCAAAAUUUUCACUUCUAUCUGCUACAUGUUUUAUCAAACACACAAUAAGGUUUCAUAUUAAUGUAUUAUGAGGGGUUCGCCUUCUUUAAUCUCCAAAAAUAAUUAAUGGAAUACGAGUCAAAAGUUUUGGUUAGAUAUAAAUAUAUAAUUGGUCGGCUCAAACCCCAAAUGGAGAAUACAUUAAAUUAUACGACCAUAUCAUCAGUUUUCUCCAUCCCACGGUUAUUCUCGGUAAAGUUAUGCGACCAUAUGUAAAUAUAUAAUCAAGCGAUCAAUCAAAUAAAAACGUAGAUGUUUCAAAUAUAUAUUGAACAUUGACCGUAAUUGUUUUUGUUAUGUGUAUAUUGUUGAGCCGAUCGAUUGGGAUUGAGUUAUCUAAGAAGAUUAAGUCAACUAAAUUGCAAGAAAUUUAUUGUAUUAACAAAUUAAAGGUUUAAGUCAAAGAAAUUGCAACGCAGAAAAGGUUUCUAAGUCAAACUAUAAUAAUGCUUGUUAGUGGAUAAAAAAACAACACAAAGCAUGGAAAUGAAGUAAUGCUUAAAUUAAUAUAUAGUAGAUUUUGAUAUGUGUUUCGAAAACACGAUUUUCUUGUGAAUUGUAAACAAAGUUUGAUAUGAAUUAAUUUUAAAGAGUAUUGUUACAAAAUUGUAUUAUAUCAAAAUAGAGAGUUUGUUUUAAAUUAUGUAAUUUAUUAUUAGAAUAUUUAAGAUUUUGUAUAUACAUUAAUACGCAACUCUCUCCUAAGUCUGGACAUUUAUCUAGAUCCAAAAAUCGAUCAGAAAACACAUGUUUGAUUCGGAUCCAUAGAAAAAAGUACAUGUUGGGUAUUUAUUGGAUAUGCGGUCUUGGUUUAAGUCCACAUCCUACUAGAGACCCGAUUGUAUAAAGUACCCAAAAUGUUUUGUGCAUAUUAGGUAUUUUGGGUAUUUCAAAAAUAUUUUCGAUAUUACGAUAUUCUCUUAAGUUUCAGAUUAUGGUUUUCGGUUAUAAUUUCGGGUUUAAGGUAAAUUUUCAAAUUUUUUAAAAUAUAUUUUUUGGGUAUCUAGAUUACACUAUGGGUAUUUUUUGGUUUCUCGGGUUUUUGGAUAAAAAAUUUCGGGUAUUUGACUAUUAUAGGGUAUUUGUUUUGGGUAUUUUUGACAUUUUCGGGUUUUGGGUAUUUUUUGGGAUUUUUGGUACUUUGAGUCUUUUGGGCCCUAAAUACCUGAACCAAAUCGGAUCUCAUAUCCAAAAAUUACAUGCAUUAUGUAUCUGAACCAACCUAGCCUUGGAAGGAACUGACCCGAACUCAGGUAAAAUUUUUUCAGAUAUCUAGAUGAGUUCAAAUAUUUAGGAUUCAAAGGACCCAACCUGAAAAAACCCGACUUUAAUCUGAUCUGAAAACCUGAAUGCCUAUGCCCACUCUCACUUAUUUAUGUUGUUCAUUUAGCGAGACUUAAGACUUAUUUGGCAGAUUUUAAGCUAAUUUAAAUAAUAUAUAUUUGCAGGAGUUUUUAAUAGUUUUUAAACUUAUAUCGAAUAACAAUUUUUAUUAUAGAUAUUUUUUAUAAAACUUAAUUUAACGUAAAUAUAUAUAAUUUUGGUUAAACAAAUGAUUUGCUAAAGUGUUUUUAUCAAAUUUGAUUUUGUAAAAUAUUUAGAAUUAUAUAAUGUUAGAUGACAUGGUAUAAAAUGUUGUAGUAUGAUAUAUGUUUUCAUUUUAAUAAUUGAUAUCUAAAUAUUAUAUAUCCAUCUUUGAGUAUAAUAUAAUAUGAUGUAUAUAACGUUAUUGAAUAACAACAAUAACAUUGGAUGAUAAAAAGAAAAAUAAUUAGAGAAAUAUAUCACACAGAAUGAGAAAUAAUAAUUGGAUUUAUUUAAAAGUUGAAGUUGUAUUCACACAGAAGCCUUUGAUAAAAAAAAAUGAUAGUGUGAAAUGUUGCAAAGUUGGUGGCACCAAGGAAUAAUAUAAUUUUGGUAUUUAAAUUUAUCAGUUACGUUUUGAUUAUGGAUUCAUGAGACACAUUUUGAUAAGAUGAUAUUUUAGUAUAAUGAAGUUAUGAAUAAAUCUUUGGUGUAUCAUAGUAAAUUGGAUAGUAAAUAAGAGCAUUGAUUAUUGUAUAUUUACAGAAAUGUAAGGUAAGACCAAAAAAACAGUUCAGUCUAAUAAAAUAGUCCAAUAACCUUAUAAAUAGAUUUUUUAAGAAUAUUUUCCUUUUAAUAGUAUAUAUAGGUAGAUUUUUUAAGAAUACUUUCUUUUUAAUUGUAUAUAUAUAUUUUUUUACCAAAUUAAUAUACAUACUUUCAUCCAUUAUAUAUAUAUAUAUAUAUAUGUUAAACCAAAUCAACCAACAAACAACAAUCUUGCUUUGUGAGAACUUCUUUUUCCUUUGAGUUUAUAUCUGUUGAGAUUUAAAAAAAAAAAGUUGCAAAGAAAAAUGGCAGGAAAAAUGUGUAUGAUGAUGAUGGUGAUGAUGGUAUUGGUGAUAAUGAACUGUGGUCUAAAACCAUGUAAUGGAAUGGAUACUAACGUUCCCACACCACCGUCUCUCGCAGGGGAGGAACCUGAAACGCGACCACAAGACAUUGCUCACUGCUACCAACAAUGUAGCCUCAAAUGCGGCUCUGACGGAGAUUGCUUCGUAGCUUGUUUAAAGAAAUGCCGCGGAACCUCUACUCUUUUUUAAUUUCUCAUACAAAGAAUGAUUCAUGUUUUGUCUGUAAAACUAUGCGACCAAGGCAUGAAAAAACUGAUCAAUGAUAUAGAAGAACCAAAGAUAUAUUUGCAGAAAA